GCAUAUCAAUAAGCGGAGGAAAAGAAACUAACAAGGAUUCCCCUAGUAGCGGCGAGCGAAGCGGGAAGAGCUCAAAUUUAUAAUCUGGCACCUUCGGUGUCCGAAGUUGUAAUCUCUAGAAAUGUUUUCCGCGUUGGACCGCACACAAGUCUGUUGGAAUACAGCGGCAUAGUGGUGAGACCCCCGUAUAUGGUGCGGACGCCCAGCGCUUUGUGAUACAUUUUCGAAGAGUCGAGUUGUUUGGGAAUGCAGCCUCAAAUUGGGUGGUAAAUUCCAUCUAAAGCUAAAUAUUGGCGAGAGACCGAUAGCGAACAAGUACCGUGAGGGAAAGAUGAAAAGCACUUUGGAAAGAGAGUUAACAGUAACGUGAAAUUGUUGGAAGGGAAACGCUUGAAGUCAGACUUGCUUGCCGAGCAAUCGGUUUGCAGGCCAGCAUCAGUUUUCCGGGAUGGAUAAUGGUAGAGAGAAGGGUAGCAGUUUCGGCUGUGUUAUAGCUCUCUGCUGGAUACAUCUUGGGGGACUGAGGAACGCAGUGUGCCUUUGGCGGGGGUUUCGACCUCUUCACACUUAGGAUGCUGGUGGAAUGGCUUUAAACGACCCGUCUUGAAACACGGACC
rnacentral:rRNA from 1 species